rnacentral:rRNA from 1 species
AUGGAUUCCAUCUUGGCGAAUGAAACUUGGGAGAUAACUGAUCAUCCUUAUGGGUGCAAACCUAUAGGAUGCAAAUGGGUAUUCAAGACGAAGCUUAGGCCUGAUGGUACUAUUGAAAAGUACAAGGCUCGGCUCGUGGCUAAGGGUUAUACCCAAAAGGAAGGUGAAGACUUCUUUGAUACUUACUCACCUGUGGCUCGACGGACCACUAUUCGAGUUCUACUUUCACUAGCUGCCUCGCAUGGUCUUCUCGUUCAUCAAAUGGAUGUUAAGACUGCUUUCCUAAAUGGAGAGUUGGACGAGGAAAUUUAUAUGGAACAACCAGAUGGGUUUGUACUAGAUGGUCAGGAAAGAAAAGUGUGCAAGUUGCUGAAGUCUUUGUAUGGACUCAAGCAAGCACCCAAACAGUGGCAUGAGAAGUUUGAAAGAACUUUAACAACUGCAGGCUUUGUUGUAAACGAAGCUGACAAAUGUGUGUACUAUUGCCAUGGUGGGGGCGAGGGAGUUAUCCUUUGCUUGUAUGUUGACGACAUACUGAUUUUCGGAACAAAUCUGAAUGUUAUUAAGGAGGUCAAGGAUUUUCUAUCUCGCUGUUUUGAGAUGAAAGAUUUAGGAGUGGCUGAUGUCAUUCUGAACAUCAAGUUGUUGAGAGAUGAUGAUGGAGGGAUCACAUUGCUUCAAUCUCACUAUGUGGCAAAGAUCUUGAGUCGCUUUGGCUACAGUGACUGCAAGCCCUCUCCAACACCAUAUGAUGCUAGUGUGUUGCUUCGAAAGAAUCGAAGAAUUGCUAGAGACCAAUUGAAGUAUUCUCAGAUUAUUGGCUCGCUUAUGUACUUAGCCAGUGCUACAAGACCUGACAUCUCUUUUGCUGUUAGCAAACUGAGUCGGUUUGUCUCAAAACCAGGAGAUGUGCAUUGGAAAGCUCUAGAGAGAGUUUUGUGUUAUUUGGAAGGCACUGCGAAUUAUGGAAUUCACUAA